rnacentral:rRNA from 1 species
GACGAACGCUGGCGGCGUGCUUAACACAUGCAAGUCGAACGGAAAGGCCCUGCUUGCCGGGUGCUCGAGUGGCGAACGGGUGAGUAACACGUGGGUGAUCUGCCCCUUACUUUGGGAUAAGCCUGGGAAACUGGGUCUAAUACUGGAUAGGACCAUGCUGUAGGUGGUGUGGUGGAAAGAUUAGUUUCGGUAAGGGAUGAGCUCGCGGCCUAUCAGCUUGUUGGUGGGGUAAUGGCCUACCAAGGCGUCGACGGGUAGCCGGCCUGAGAGGGUGGACGGCCACAUUGGGACUGAGAUACGGCCCAGACUCCUACGGGAGGCAGCAGUGGUGAAGAGUGCACAAUGGGCGCAAGCCUGAUGCAGCGACGCCGCGUGGGGGAUGACGGCCUUCGGGUUGUAAACUUCUUUCAGCCAUGACGAAGCCCUUGUGGUGACGGUAGUGGGAGAAGAAGCACCGGCUAACUACGUG